rnacentral:rRNA from 1 species
AACGAACGCUGGCGGCAUGCCUAAUACAUGCAAGUCGAACGAGAUCUUCGGAUCUAGUGGCGCACGGGUGCGUAACGCGUGGGAAUCUGCCCUUGGGUUCGGAAUAACAGCGGGAAACUGCUGCUAAUGCCGGAUGAUGACGUAAGUCCAAAGAUUUAUCGCCCAGGGAUGAGCCCGCGUAGGAUUAGCUAGUUGGUGGGGUAAAGGCCUACCAAGGCGACGAUCCUUAGCUGGUCUGAGAGGAUGAUCAGCCACACUGGGACUGAGACACGGCCCAGACUCCUACGGGAGGCAGCAGUAGGGAAUAUUGGACAAUGGGGGCAACCCUGAUCCGGCAAUGCCGCGUGAGUGAUGAAGGCCUUAGGGUUGUAAAGCUCUUUUACCCGGGAUGAUAAUGACAGUACCGGGAGAAUAAGCCCCGGCUAACUCCGUGCCAGCAGCCGCGGUAA